ACUCUAGUCCGACUUUGUGAAAUGACUUGAGAGGUGUAGAAUAAGUUAGAGCUCCGGCGCAAGUGAAAUACCACAACUUUUAACGUUAUUUUUCUGUAAAAGAAUGGGGAAUUCGUGUGUCUUUAUUUCUGAAUAUAAGUUCCCUUUAUAUAAGGGUUACAAGAUAAGGAUCAAAGGAAAGAGU
rnacentral:ncRNA from 2 species